GAAGUGAACAAGUAAAGCAGUGCUGCAACAUAAAAUCCAUAGAGUUUACAACGCACAUAGGCGCACCUUGUCAACAGGCAAGGCAGGCAACUGCUUGGAGCCCCGAGCCACUAGAGGGUCCCCGAGUUUGUUUCUCGGAUGGCCAGCUACACCCGGUAGAUGAACUACAUGACUGCAUAUCAAAAUUCCGAUUGGAUGGAAUGUUGAUUGACAUGGCUUAGCCCUGUCAAAAUCCAACCCAGGUACAAGUGCUGGUGGUCCACCUGUCUGGGUUCAAGAGGUGUUGAUUCUGCAGGCUGUGAAUUUGAGAGACCUCUCAGAGUUUAUUCAGCUGAUUAUUUUUG